CGAAAGAGCUCUGCACAACCACAUCCAUAUGAGAGUCCAAUGAGAAUUGUUUGCCUAUGCGGGAACGUCGAAAAAGAAUUAAUAGUCAAUAAACAUUAAAAUACCGCGUACACGUCGCCGCAUCGAUGGUGAUUCCUGAUGCUGUGAAAAAUCAUUAAUAAUAUAAGCAAUUCGCACACCGGCAUAAGUUUUGGCCAAAAAUUCAUCUGCAUCGAAUAUGGCUGCAAAUGAACCGUUGACGAUUUUCGGCGAGAGUGGUGAAUUUGAUAGUAGUAGACUAGAGCCGAAAGCUUCAUUUUUCUCUUUAGCAUCUAUGGAAUCAAAAUGGUUACAGAUUUACCCAAAACGGCACAAGCCCUUGCUUAAUGUCAUCCUCGAUGGCCUCGCGCAACGCUUUACCACGCAUAGCCAAACUG